GUGAUCACAGAGUAAUUCCCGAGUAGGACCAACAAUGGACUGACACUCACUCUGUGUCCUUUUAGAGUCUACCAGGGGUGUGGUGGAGGACCUUGGCAAGAAAGCACUGUGGCCCAACACAUCCAGGGUGGCCCCAGCACCAUGUGGAAGUGAUUCCUUGGAGGAAGAUGUCGAUCCCAUCAAAGGAGACAGCACUGGAUGCACACCUCUUGCCAUGGUGACCCCAGCAACCAGCGAGAGUGAUGUGACUGAUGAUGGCGCUGUCUGGUCCUGGCUUUUUUAGAGUGUUACGGAG